GAGGUACGGCUCACCAAGGCCACGAUCAGUAGGGGUUCUGAGAGGAAGGUCCCCCACAUUGGAACUGAGACACGGUCCAAACUCCUACGGGAGGCAGCAGUGAGGAAUAUUGGUCAAUGGACGAGAGUCUGAACCAGCCAAGUAGCGUGCAGGAUGACGGCCCUAUGGGUUGUAAACUGCUUUUGUUUGGGAAUAAUCGACAUUACGUGUAAUGUUUUGCAUGUACCAUUCGAAUAAGGACCGGCUAAUUCCCGUGCCAGCAGCCGCGGUAAAU
rnacentral:rRNA from 1 species